rnacentral:rRNA from 1 species
UACGGGGGGAGCAAGCGUUGUUCGGAUUACUGGGCGUAAAGGGCGCGUAGGCGGUCGUGACAAGUCACUUGUGAAAUCUCCGGGCUUACUCGGAACGGUCAAGUGAUACUGUCGGACUAGAGUACAGAAGGGGCAACUGGAAUUCUCGGUGUAGCGGUGAAAUGCGUAGAUAUCGAGAGGAACACCUGCGGCGAAGGCGGGUUGCUGGGCUGAUACUGACGCUGAGGCGCGGAAAGCCAGGGGAGCGAACGGG